rnacentral:rRNA from 1 species
GAUUACCUCAGUACGGCGAGUGAAAGCGGUAACAGCUCAAAUUUGAAAUCUGGCUCCUUCGGAGUCCGAGUUGUAAUUUGUAGAAGCAGCUUUGGGUUGUGGGACCGGCCUAAGUUCCUUGGAACAGGACGUCAUAGAGGGUGAGAAUCCCGUAUGUGGCCGAGGCCUGCACCCGUGUAAAGCUCUUUCGACGAGUCGAGUUGUUUGGGAAUGCAGCUCAAAAUGGGUGGUAAAUUUCAUCUAAAGCUAAAUAUAGGCCAGAGACCGAUAGCGCACAAGUAGAGUGAUCGAAAGAUGAAAAGCACUUUGGAAAGAGAGUUAAACAGUACGUGAAAUUGUUGAAAGGGAAGCGCUUGCAACCAGACUUGGACACCACUGAUCCGCGAGGGUUCUCUCUCGGGCACUCGGUGGGGUACAGGCCAGCAUCGGUUUGGAUGGUUGGAUAAAGGCCGAAGGAACGUAGCUCCUCUCGGGGAGUGUUAUAGCCUUCGGUGCAAUGCAGCCCAGCCGGACCGAGGACCGCGCCUUCGGGCUAGGAUGCUGGCGUAAUGGUUGUAAAGCGACCCGUCUUGAAACACGGACCCAAGGAGUCUAACAUCUAUGCGAGUGUUUGGGCGUAAAACCCCAUACG